UACGAAGGGGGCUAGCGUUGUUCGGAAUCACUGGGCGUAAAGGGCGCGUAGGCGGCCGAUCAAGUCGGGGGUGAAAGCCUGUGGCUCAACCACAGAAUUGCCUUCGAUACUGUUUGGCUUGAGACCGGAAGAGGUUAGUGGAACUGCGGGUGUAGAGGUGAAAUUCGUAGAUAUUCGCAAGAACACCAGUGGCGAAGGCGGCUGACUGGUCCGGUUCUGGACGCUGAGGCGCGAAAGCGUGGGGAGCAAACAGG
rnacentral:rRNA from 1 species